GAAGGUGGCAAGCGUUACUCGGAAUUACUAGGCGUAAAGGGGCAGGUAGGUGGUUUGAUAAGUCUGCUGUGAAAGCUCCCGGCUCAACCGGGGAGAGGGCCAGCAGAUACUGUCGAACUUGAGUAUAGGAGAGGUUACUGGAAUUUCCGGUGUAGCGGUGAAAUGCGCAGAGAUCGGAAGGAACACCAAUGGCGAAAGCAAGUAACUGGACUAUUACUGACACUCAGCUGCGAAAGCUAGGGGAGCAAACAGGAUUAGAUACCCUGGUAGUCCUAGCUGUAAACGAUGCACAUUAGACGCAGGUGGUAUCGACCCCUUCUGUGUCGACGCAAACGCAUUAAAUGUGCCGCCUGGGGAGUACGGCCGCAAAGGUUG
rnacentral:rRNA from 1 species